UACACAUUUGAGAACACACACUGGAGAGA
rnacentral:piRNA from 1 species